GAUGAUGUCGCUGGGCCUGGGAUUCAUCCUCCGCAGCGCCAUUCCAGCACGCAAAUAGAUGAGAGCGAAACAUGACCAGAUGCCCAGAUUAGACGCGUCGUCAAGAAGGUCAGAAAUCUCUGGAAAUAGUCCACACAGCUGAAGAGUCCACGAGAUGAAUCCCAACCAAAAUGACCAAGCAAAAAGCCGUGCAGCUGCCCUGCCUAGCGGAGACGGAGGGCUUUCAGGGGCACAAGAAAGCCGCUCAUCGAAAUCCUUCAUGAGGAGGCCCUCCGCCAGCUAUAAUAUUUGACAAUGGACAAGAGCGUCAGAAGCUAAACCAUGGGAGAGCAGAGAGAGGGUAGUAGCAUAGCAGCAGGGCCGGGAGGUGACGACAAGAGACGCACCUCGCUGCUGCUCCCUGCUGCGCGCAGGAAGAAGAGCAGGAACGCCGGCGCUGAAAGAAGCAGGGAGGCUGUAAAGAUGCAUCCCGUGAUCUCGGACAGGACGGAUCUCGCGGCGUAGUCGCCGCCGCAGACCCGGACCGCGACCGUGUCGAAGAAAAUUGCCGCGACGAUCACGUACAACGUGCCCAGGAACAGGUGGAUGAAGGCAUCCGCAGCGGCGCAGGCACGGCUGCUGCGCGCCAGUGCGUCCACGGCCUUCUUCACCACUGCCGGCGAGAUCGCCGCUAUGUCGGCAGCGAGCUUGCAGACCGCCUCUUCGAACAUCAUGGCUGGGCUGCGUGCAAGUCAGUGACGUGAGUGUGUGUGCUCGCGCAGGAGCGCGCGGGUGCAAAUGAGGUUGAACAGAGGAGCCGCGGCACGAUCUCGAGCUCGCUGCCAUGGAAAGCCAUGGCGGCCGUGGCUUCGGACUUCGGUGUCCGGUUUGCACGGGACGGCGGCUACAGGGAAAAAGCGCACGGCAGAGAGAGAGGAAGGAGAUACGGGGGCACACUGACUCACCGCGCGCACAAGGUUGAAGUCUUGAAGAGGACGUAGGCUGGCCGGAGCGGAUCAAGGUAGAGGAAGAAGCCGGCGACGUUCGGGAAGUAGAGGAAGAAGCCUGCGACGUCCAGGAAGUAGAGGAAGAAGCCAGCGACGUUCGGGAAGUAGAGGAGGACGCGGACGUAGUCGUUCCCGGCUCCUCCGGUCGUACAGCUUGCGGGGGUCGACGGGGGCGGACGAGGCGCUGCUUCUCGCGGCUUCGGAAGGCUGGAGACGGCGGGGAUAACGCCGGAGCAGAUCUCGCGCUCGCUCUGUCCGUGGCGACGGCGGCUAUGCGUGCGGGAGCUUACCUUGAUGAGGGGAGACGAGAAGAGGGUGGGAAUGGAGAGAGGAGGGGCGAUUAGGGCUGUCGGCGGCGUUAUAUAGACUCCCUAGGACGCAUUUUACAACGAUUAAUCUAUGUACUCCCUCCGUUUAAGUGUGUAAGUCACCUUACAAAAAUCAAAUAAUCCCAAAAUACUUAGGCAUGGUAUAUUAACUUUCUCCUUGUUUUUUGUUUUGUGACAUAUCAAUCAAUAAAAGAUGUGGGCCAUGCAUGCUUUCAAUGACUUGAGAGUACCAAACAUGACAUGUACCCCCUCCGUCUAGGUGUGUAAGUCACUUUAUGAAAAUCAAUAAUCUCAAAACACUUAGACACGGUACAUUAACUUUCUUCUCUUUUUUGUUUUGCGACAUAUCAACCAAUAAGAAAUGUGAGCCGUGCAUGCUUUCAAUGACUUGAGAGUACCAAACAUGACAUGUAGUAAUUAGUUCAUUGCAUGCAAUGCUAUUAAUUAGCAAAAAGACAUUAAGUUUUCUCGUUUUCCUUCUCGCCUUAGUCGCGGUGAACAAUGUAAGAUGACUUACACACCUAGACGGAGAGAGUAGUGGUUAGUUCAUUGCAUGCAAUGCUAUUAAUUAGCAAAAAAACAUUAAGUUUUCUUGUUUUACUCCCUGCCUUGGUCGCGAUGAACAAUGUAAGAUGACUUACCCACCUAGACGGAGGGAGUACGAAUGUGACAAGCUUUAAAUGGACCGUAGUCCAAGUGUGUGGAAAUAAUUGAUAUAUACUUUCUUUGUCCCAACCAAAAUAAGGCCUUUUUUGGUUCAUAGGAUAGGAUUAUCGUAGGAAUAGGAAUUUUGUAGGAAAUGAGAUAACAUGUAUCUCAAAUCCUAUGAGUAGGAAUAGGAAACGAGAUGUCAUUUGGUUGACACCAAAGGAAUUUUUUCAUUAAGUCUAGGCUCAUUUUUAUUUUCCUAUGAAAUGUGGAGGAUAGGAACCAAUCCUAUGUAGGAAUAGGAUCCAUUCCUAUAAACCAAAGGGCUCUAAAAGAAAAAAUCAUAUAAGAAUCCUAUCCUCUAGAAUUCCUAUGAAAUUCCUCCAAACCAAAGGAGGCCUAAGUGUCUUAAUCUUAGUACAACUUUAGUACGGAGGGAGUAUUUUUAAAAUAGUGUUAGCUUUUGAAUUGCCCAAUCGGUGAUGGACAAAUCAUUCCGUGUGGUACCGUGGUUGUCAAGUUGGUGGUUGUGGAGCUGCAUCAUGGAGUCAUGAAUUCGAGCCAUGGAUUGGUGAGUGAAGAAGACAAAAACCCUCCUUGCCCGUUUUUGGAUAGCCUAGCAGAGAUUGUAAAGUUUAAUUUCUUCGCCCCGCAAAAGAAAAAAAGUUUAAUUUCUCCGGCAAAUGGCGUGGUGCACCAGUACAUACACAUACACAUAGAAAAAAAAGGUAGAGUAGUAAAAGGUGGUGAUUGUUAAUUAUAAAGUUUAAAUUAUAUGGAAAUCCAAAAGGAAAAAAUAUGUUUAAUUGGAGCCAUAUACAUUCAGCAAUGUUUUAUAGUGACCAUAACUGGUUUUAAUUACAUAAUUUUUACAACAUAAAAGUUCCUCCUAACUCUUCCAAGAAUACAAUUCCUUGACUGAUUACAGUACGAUUCUUCAACAUCAAUUGUAUCCAUUGGUAUCUAAAAGGUUCUUAUAUUUCAAAUAGCACAAAGUGCCUGCAAUGCUCAAUUUUGAUAUAUUGCAGUACCCUAAAGGUUUUUUUAGAAAGGCUAUGAAUUUAUUCCUCCGUAAUAGGGUUACAAUUGGUUGCCAAGAGCCUGGAAAUACAAUCAAGAUGAUGAUGUAACCAAUAGGCGGUUUGACCAUCAAUUCUACAAAAAUUUGCCAAGCAAUUGAACCCUAUUAUGCUCACGAUAAAUUUUCAGGAGGAUAAACUAUGGCCUUCCAAUAAUCGUGGUCCAUAUGCAAUAUCCUAGAGGUUGUUGCCUAGAUUUCUCUUUCUAGUGACGGUGAUGGACUUGCGAAUACAACUUUUUUCUCAUCUUUCUAGAUUUCUCCUAACUCUUCAAGGAACACAAUUGUUUGGGCGCUUUGGUGCGGGUGGCACGGGGAUUGGGGUCGACUUGCUGCUCCUUUCUUCCUCCACAUCAUAGGGCAGGUUUGUCUAUAUAUGACCAAAACUACAGUCGAGAUGCAUCUUGGUCACUGGUUGAGAACGAGAGGAUCGAGUGUGCACGGUUCGGUGACGGGCGGCCAUGGCUUCAUAGGCAGCGGCCUCUACCUGGAGUUGCUCAGCUGCUGGGUAUUGGAGGUUCGGUCCCUCGACCCGUGUGCCUCCUCCUCCUCGCCUCGACAAAUCCUCCACGCUGGUGCUGAUUUUCCUAUGAUUCUGUCCCUCGCUUAAAUUACCAUGGGUUUUUUCGUCGAUAUUAGUGCCACUGUAGAAAGGAGUUCAGCUAUUGUAUUGGACUAGUAAGUGUGCACGUGCAACGCACGUCUAUUUAAAUUAAUAAGUGUGCACACGCAAUACGCAUCUAUUUGGAUUAACAUAUUAUGAUAAACUUAAUACAAGACAAUUUAUUCAUAAAUUUGAAAUUUCCCUAUAAAGUACACGAUCUCUUAUUUCCAACUCGUAUAAAUAAUUUGAAAUAUCGUUUCUCCUUAAUCAACAUCUCUCCUGUAUUAAAAGACCACCCACUUUUCUUAAUGUAUAAAAUUCAAAAUUAUUUAGAAGAUUCAUCAUGAUUUUUCAUAUGCACACAUUUAUGCAAGUAUAGUCACACAUGAAAAUGUCACUUACGACAGGCUAAGGAACCGUUUUAGUGCCAACAAAUUCCAGUCAAGAAUUACACAAGAUCGUCAUGAACAUAUACAGAGAGAAGUGACCUCUCUUUCUCCGAGAUUGAUCGAACAACAAGUUUUUGUAUAUAUCUAUCCGACACUACUACAUAUAUACAAUAUAACAUCUCUUAUAAUCCCUAACAUCUAAAAUCAAUUUCAACUUCCACAUGGCAUUCUCCGUCUUUAUGUAUGACAUGGUCAAGAAAGAAUCCCGCCAAUUCCUCUUGAAUUGCUUGUAUGUGAUCAUGUGGUAUGAGUUCAUUCCGCAUCUGUCACAUCUAAUCUAAAGAAGAGGGUCAAUACAUAUAUAUGAAAGAAACUCAACACAAUUGAUGGUAAUAAAAUAAAAUUCUGAAUAUUGUUUAUGUACUAAAUGACAUGAGAAUUACCAUGACCACAAAAUAUCCUACAUUCAUCAUCAUCAUAAUCAACAUGCAGUUUUUGCUUCUCUUGUAUGUAGUCCAAGUUUUCUAUCAGAAAAACAUAUUAACUCAACUGUAGAUAAAGACGGUAUGAAAAUACUCAUGUAAAAUUACAAUUGCCAUGUAUCUGCUGGACAAACAAAUACACUUAUGCAAACUUCAGGCUUUUUUAGUAAAACUUAUGCGAACUUUAGUUUUUUUCAUUAAAACUUAUGCAAACUUCUGGGUUUUUUUUUCAGUGAAACGUAAUUUCAUGACUGCAAGUAAGGUCUUGGUUCUGCGAAUUUGUCUGUAAGUUCACUAUGUAGUGGUGAGUUGGCCAUGUAAUAACCGGUAGUCAGUACUUAAAAAAUAGGGAUGUCUGUUACAGGUACGCGAAAAUCAGUGAAAAAAUAAAGAAAUAAAGAAGGUGAACGUCUCUGUGUGUGCUCCAGCGCUCCUCUGUUUCUCAUUGCCUCAUCUCUAGUUCCUGUACUUCUAGAUGUGUCAUCACCGGCAAGGUAGCGAUGACAGUAAAAAAAACAACACUCGGUACUUACCUGAUUAAUGCGUGCGUGUGGUGCGUUUGCGUGAAGGCGAGCGUCUCCGUCGUUCAGGCCUGCGAGCGGCCGCGACGACCGUGUCCUCUCACCAGCUGGGCGGCAUUGUCGAGUAGGUGAGUCAGUCGUCCAGCUUUGAGGCGGCGGCCUCCACGCACCGGGAUUAGCUUUGGACGACGUCGUCCACGCGCGAGUACCGGACAAGCGUGUCCAAUGGAUCAGCAUGCGUCAGAGAUGAGGGAGUCGACGGUGGCUUCAGGCGAGUGAGAUGGGGCCGUGAUUAGCUUCACCUGUUGCACAGUGGCCGAGACCUGCACCGCCCUGGGGACGAUGAUGGUUGGCGACCAGGCGAAUCUGCAUGCAUGGCUGUGGGGGCAGAUUUUUUUUGGCCCGCUUAUACUGGUCCAAGAUACUCAGCGUUGCCCCCACUUGAAGGACCUCGGCGGUGGGUGGUUGUCAGCGUGGGUGUUGUGGAUGGAGCUGAAGUCGACGUGGAUGUCGGUGGUUCCCGGAGAGCAUGCCCAGGAUGUGGACGAAGUCGUUGCAGUCAGUAGAAGUGUGUUCGGAGGAAGCCGCAGCUCCUCCUCGCGUGUCUCCCAUUGUGGCUCGCUUGGGUGGUGGGCUGGUGACGGCUGGUGACUCGCGAUCACGAUUCCCUGAUAGGAGACGAUAGGAUGCGCUCGCGAUUAGUUUCCUAAUAAUUAGAUGCGUUCGUGGUUAGUUAUCUAAUAGGAUGCAACCAUGAUUAGUUUCCCAAUAAUUAGAUGCGUCCGUGAUUAAUUUCCUAAUAUGAUGACUCGUAAUUAUUUUCCUAAUAAUAGGAUGCGCGUGCGAUUUUUUUCCUAAUAAUAAGAUGGGUUUGUGAUUAGUUUCCUAAUAAUUAGAUGUGUCCGUGAUUAGUUUCUUAAUAGGAUGUGUCCGUGAUUAUAGUUUCCUAAUUGACCAGGCUUGGACUUUCAUAUUUUCCUCCGCGGUGGAGUACGGCCAGUCAAUGUAAAUUGCUAAGUGCACAAAGAGAACAGAUUCGAUUAAGGCUAGCCGUUAGAUUAAGUUUAGUGGGACUAAUCAUGCGGUGGUAAUAUAUCCGUGUACAUUUUGUGGGGUGCACUUAAAAAAAUAAUGUUUGCUCUUUUAUAAGUAGUAGUAUAGAUAAGUUUCACUUCGUUAUUACAACCAGGGUGUCAUGCAGGCUUUGUCAAAUUCGGAACUGGCUAGAUCUUAGUAUGGCCCCCUCAUCGAAGAGAUCAAAGAGCUUCUCUCCUCACAGGAUGAAUUAAUUGUGGUUUGGGCUAGUUUUUUUUAGAAAAGGGGAUACCCCGGCCUCUGCAUCAUAUCGAUGCAUACGGCCAUCUUAUUAAACCAAAUAAGUUUCAACAAGGUCUCAAAGUCUCCUACUGAAAAGUGAACAAAGCUCACACAGAGCCAACAUGGGCUAGAAACACAUACUAGCCAUAUAAAAGACGCCACAACCGGCUGGCUGAAAAAGAGAUAGGUAAACUAAUUGCCUAUCCUAUUACAUGAUCGCCAUCCAAACGGUUGAAGAUAUCCCGAGCUGCCAUCUCCCAGCGGAUAGAUCCAGUAACCAAACGCUCCCUGGCCUCCGUCGGAGUGAGUAGCGACCACGAACGAAUCAACGCCGUGGCUCUGUAAAUAACCUGCAAAAAAUGAAUAUGUGUUGUCCUGUUAAAAACCAAAUCAUUUAUGCAAUUCCAGAGCGCCCGCACCAAGGCACAGACUCCUACACGAAUAUAUCUCGCUAACUCGGGCUCUACCCCGUUAAGCCACGUUCCAAAUAACGUGUUGACUGAAUUCGGUGGAGUAAUAUUAAAAGCAAUAUGGAUCGUCCUCCAUAAAACUUUAGCUAGCGGGCAAUCAAGAAAAAGGUGUUUGAUCGUCUCAUCCCGAUCACAGAAACUACACCUAGUAGAUCCUGUCCAAUUACGCUUUGUCAAUUUGUCCUUGCUUAAAAUAACUUGUUUAUGCAGAAACCACAUAAACACUUUGAUUUUCAAAGGGACUUUGACAGCCCAAACAUGUUUGAAACUAGGAAUCGAGCUUGAAUUGAUAACAUCAACAUACAUUGAUUUAACAGUAAAAACUCCAGACCUAGUAAGCUUCCAGCACAAUUCAUCUGGUUGUUGGGAAAGCUGAAUGUCCAUCAGUCUCCUUACUAGAUGCAGCCAUUCUUUCCAACGAUUACCCACUAAUGCCCUUCUGAACUGAAUAUUAAGGGGGAUCGAUUGUAACACAUAAACUAGCUAGCUAGGAAUGGCUGCUUGAAUAAGUUAUGUAAGACUUGGUUUUAUGUUCCACCGAAUUGUAUUUGUGACAUUGUCGUGGCUGAGGCCACUUAAAUAAUAAAAGGCAGCAAGGUCUAAUCUCAAAAAUAAAAAAAUCGCGGUGUAUCGUUUCUUCAUGCAAGGCAUCGUCUCAAAAUUGUGUUUCAGCAACAACUAGGCCACCUAGCUUGACACUUUGCUGCAAGCCUUCCACUGCAAGCAUACUAUUCUUUCAGACCCAAGGCAUCAACUCUUGCACCGGAAUGGACUAGCAUGCAUGAUGCCGUGACCACAAAAGCAGUCACGUAAGUAGUUAAAGGGCAGCAUCGAUAGAGACGGAGACGAUGGAGACGUGAGGGUGGUGGCCCUGCCUCACCCAUGCGUGAAGCUUCCUGGAAACGAGUCAUCACUCGCGUGUCGAGAGUUGAUUGAAAGCGCGUCUAUGGGGCCGAUGUGCUUGUCAAAAAAAUGUAAGGGCAAAAAAGAGAAUAAAGGAGAAAGCAUGUCAUCGCCCGUAAGUGCAACCGGGAAAUACCCUUGAUUGUAUGUGCACUCUAUAUGGAUUUAUUUAUUUUACAAAAAAGUCAAAAUAGUUCAGAAAUUUUUAGAAUAAAUUUGACUUUCUUUUGCACUAGUAUAUAAAUUUGACCUCUUCUGCCAAUUUUGUUUGUACGAAAGCGCAAUGUUGAUCAGAACUUAAUUAAGAUGCAAACACUCCUCGCAGGAUGCAUGACCUUCAUAUGUGGGUUAAUGCCGGUUACCUGAGUAGGUGAAGCCGCAAUGAUGUCGCUGGGCCUGGGAUUCAUCCUCCGCAGCGCCAUUCCAGCACGCAAAUAGAUGAGAGCGAAACAUGACCAGAUGCCCAGAUUAGACGCGUCGUCAAGAAGGUCAGACAUCUCUGGAAAUAGUCCACACAGCUGAAGAAUCCACGAGAUGAAUCCCAACCAACAUGACCAAGCAAAAAGCCGUGCAGCUGCCCUGCCUAGCGGCGACG
rnacentral:lncRNA from 1 species